rnacentral:rRNA from 1 species
UACGAAGGGUGCUAGCGUUGUUCGGAAUUACUGGGCGUAAAGCGCGCGUAGGCGGCUUGACAAGUCAGGGGUGAAAUCCUGGGGCUUAACCCCAGAAUUGCCUUUGAAACUGUCAGGCUUGAGUGUCGGAGGGGAUAGCGGAAUUGCUAAUGUAGAGGUGAAAUUCGUAGAUAUUAGCAGGAACACCGGUGGCGAAGGCGGCUAUCUGGACGACAACUGACGCUGAGGCGCGAAAGCGUGGGGAUCAAACAGG